UAAGGGUAUGUGUUUACAUAGGUUUAUUUUAAGUACUCCUGUCUCUGGAUGGUAGUAUGCCACUGUUUGUAGCUAAACCAGUCACUGCCAUGAAUGAAAAUACAUACAUGGGCUGUCUGUGACAUAAAUUUUCUUUUCAUGGGGUGAAUGAUUUCCUACUGUAGCUGUUUUAUAAUACGGAGCACAUGCACGUGUUGGAGGAGGUUGGUGUGCAGAGUUCUGUGUCAAUAGAAGUUUGAAUCAAACGCCCUUUGCUCCUACGUGGGGCUCUUCUCUGUCUUUCUUGAGUGAUACAGGCACUGUAAACUCACUCAAAUAAAACCUGAUCUGAGCACUACCUUUCUGACAUGUAUCCAUUCAUUCUCUUCUUAUUUAGCAGAGAGGAUACUCCAUUAAUACCUUCAGCUCAGGAGUGUAUUUGUGCAGCAAAAUAAAGCAUGCUGUUUCAUGGCAGCUGCUUUUAUGUUUUCUGAGCGAUGGAUGUAUUUACUACAGUAAGUAACAGAAAAUUGACUUAGCCCAUUGCCUGUCCUGGCUACUAAAUGAUCUUUUUUUUUUCCUUGCAAGAGGCUCUUUGUAGACAAUGGAGCUAACCUAUGCAGAGUUAACUUAGUCAAUCUAACCAUCACAUUCAGAACCACCGGCAUCAUCCUUUUGUUGUUUUUCAGAUGGAUGGUAUUAACUGCCCAACUUCUUUUUACUACAUUUCAGUGCCUGGAAUGGUUUCAGUAGCCAAUAGCUGCUGCUACCUAUUGUCCUCUGAAAAGUAGGAUUGCUUGCCAAGAAUUUGAUUGGAGUUGCAUUGUCAUGGCAGAAUUGUGCCCGUGGAUGGCUCUUCAGAGCUCUACUUCUGCAAUUUACUGUAGCUAUAUUAAGAUGAAAAUUGUACUGUUCAGGCACUGUCCCAAGUGACAGAGGUUUCUAAUCUUUUUGCUGUCCAGACUAUUUUGAGAUGGAGGAGCACCUGAGGCAGCAUUCAGACUAUAACCUCUUCCUCCUCUGUUCCAGAAAGCAGUGAACAAUUCAAAAUAUUUGUCAGUGCUGCCAGAUCCAGACUCUGUUACUGUCAGGGAGACUGAAGGUCUUGUUUUAAACCCUGUUGAGAGUUCUCCUGAUUUGCUGCGAAUUGCUCACUGCUCUCCUGAACUUUGGUAGGAAUUUGUGCAUCUGUCUUGGGCACUGUAAUGUGUGGUCUUAAUUACAGCCCUCAGUACCUCUGCACAGAAAACUGAACUGCUACCUAGAGCUGAGCAGUGCAAGAAGACCCUGUUGGAGAGCUGUGCUGUGCCUGCAGGCCUCAACCUGAAUUCCCAGCACAUCUCAUGGAAAUCGGAUUGAAAGCUGACGGAAAUUGAGUGCACAAAAGGAUGGCACCCAAAGGACUUCAAGUUGAUGAGGACCCUGCACUCCAGACAUGCAAUCUUCAGGUCACGUUCGGAUGUUAAUUAGCAUCUGAAGGAGAAACAAAAAAAACAAAAGCACUCAGAAAGUAAUGUUUAAACCACCAUAUACCUGUCAGCGUAACACACCCUCUGUACUGUUUAACACUGGAAUCUCGCCGUGAUGCUCGUGUCACUUUCCGUACCGCUUGUUGCGCAUUAAAGAAGUCACUCAGCUGUGCUGCCAUCAGUGUUCAUUAAUUCAUACAGAACCCCGAGGGAAUCGCUUAUUUCUGCUAUAAAAUUAAUGGAAAGUACUGAAGGUAAGGCUGCACAGUGUAGCAUCCUCAGUGUAAAGGGCUGAGCCCCAUCCCUGGGGGCAGAGAGCACCCUCUGGCUCCGGUUCCCUGUCUCGGGAUGCUGGGAGCUGUCUGGUUUGCUCUUUUGGAAGGGCCGCCCUUCAUCAUCCCUUUGCUUGUGUUUAUUCCUCACCUGAUUGAAAUAGACCCAACUGGGUUCCAUGUUUACGUUCUAGGACCAGCUCUUCAAUAACAUCCCAGCCACAUAGAAGUUUAAAAUAGCCUUACCUCCUCUCAGUGUCAGGAAGAGCUCUGUCAGCCCUGGUGGUGGGGAGGAGCUGGGCCCAGCUAUUCUUAGCAGCAACCUCUUUCCAGCCUAUAUAUGGGAGCUGGAGGCCACGCUGCUCCCAGGCGCAUUUAUCGCCACGGUGCUGCAGCAAUCUGUGCUGGGGGAUCAGGGCCAGGGUGCGGCUCAGACCUGUGAGCUGGCAAACCCUCUCUGCUCGGCCUUGCUCAGGGAGAUGCUUUGCCCACUUUCUAUUUAAUCUUUCCAGCCACUGGCAUCUGCCAAAUGGCCGCCCCACAGCAUGAGGAGGCCCCAUUCCAAGUGCGGCCGACAGCAACGUGAGCAUGUAAAUGGGGUGCGGCAUAAAGAGAAUUUCCGUGAAGAGCCCUCUGAAAAAUUUGUUGUUGCUAAGAAAUGUUGAAAGCAAAAAACAAUAACGUGGCUGCUGCCAGAGCAAUAAGAG
ensembl:lncRNA